UUACUCUUUUCCUUCCUGUACACAUUGUUUUGAUGAGCCAGCUAACAGCCCAGGGGUGCGACUGACACGCUGGUUGCCAGCCUGCGUCUUCCAACCCCUCCGCUUCAUCUCAGAGAACUAGAGAUGGGAAAUAAAGAAAGCUUCUGAGAAACUCACCUCGCUUCGGCAAACAUGAGGAAGGCAUGUAAUGUGAAACUGCUGUGCAGAUAUCCAUGAUCCUGAAGGCCGACGAGAGCCCCAGAGCGGUCGUGCUUCACGCCGGGGUUAACGACACCGCGCUGCAGCAGACGGAGACGCUGAAGAGGGACAUCAGGAGCCUGAUUGAGACGGUUCGCAGCACAAUGCCCGCGGCGAUGAUCACCGUGUCAGGACCACUGCCCACGUAUCGACGAGGACACGAAAGGUUCAGUAGACGUUUUGCUUUAAAUGAAUGGUUGUUGUCAUGGUGUAAAGAACAGAAUCUGCUCUUUGUUAAUUACUGGAAUCUUUUCUGGGAGCGUCCUAGUUUUGUGCUGAAGGCCUGCACCCCAGGAGAGUCGGAGCGGAGCUGCUUUCUGACAACAUCUCCAGGACACUUCGCUCCAUGUGACUAGUCAGGACACGUUCAAGCUGCAUUUGGUGUGGAGAAGCAGAUUCAUGACCGGGUGCAGAAGCAGGCCUAGCUGAGAGAUCGGAGAGCUGAGUUGGAAACCUCCCGGGCUGACACUCACAAAUCUGGGAUAAGUAUACAGCACGCUGCUAACACUGCCCCCACUGCCACCACCUCUACUCCGUGUGUUUCUCUGCACAGGCCCGUUGCACCCAGGACGUGAUCUUCCCAAAUGUUCUUCACUCUGGCACCGGGAUGCCAUAGACCCUGGGUGCAACAGCUCCUUUGAAUCUCAUUCAGUUACUGUUACAUACCCUCUUAAAUACAUUUUGUAGUUGUCUAUGGACCCCCAGGACCACUAUGUAACAUUUUGAUGAAUUAAAUGUGCUGCUCUCAACCUUUCCUGAGGAUGGUACUCCCCUAGUUAUACUUGGAGAUUUCACACACCCUGCUUGCCUCUUUUGAUCUGACAAUGUGAUUAAUCGAUGAAAAGUUUCUAUGAGGCUGUGGACACUAGCUUAGCUGACUUGGUGGAGCAUUUCCUUAAUUUACUGGUUAAAGCAAAGUUAAUGCAGGCAGUUACAUUUGUUUAUUUAUUUAUUUUUUCUCAGGAAAUAUGCAAGGGUAGGAAAUAUGCAAUGGGAGAGUCAAAUGAUAAAGCUAAGACUUCCUUGCACUCCCACACUCUCUAGAUUGCAGGCCUAUAUACCAGCUACCUCCCACAUUUCUUAUGUCCACUGUCCAGAGACCCUGGCUUCAAUAUCUAAGGAGAAAAAUAAGACUCAAAGUGUUACAUAUUCUUUCUCCAGUGCAUACUCGCCCACCUAAUGUCAUUACCUUCUCAGUUAUGACUGGUUCAUCGUCAUUCUGUGCUAGACCUCCCGUCCAUCUCGAGUUUCCCUCCUUCAGUGACUCCUGCAAGACAGCUAAUAUGCUCAACUUCAUCAAGCAAUGUGAGAACUUCCUUGAGAUCAAACAACUCCCCAUUGUUGAGCUCUGUGGAACAAUAAGCAUGGCCCUGAAGGGACCCUCUCUGAGCUGGUAAACAGAGAAGACCAAGAUAAUGGAUCGGAUAUCUUUUAAAAAGCCUUUUACGGCUGCUUUCUUUGUCCCGGGUAUAUGAGCAGCCUAAUACUGACACUGCCUCAUGCCUCUUUAUGGUUGUGGUCUUUAGCAACUGACUUCAUGCAUUAUUACCAUGACAUUCCCCUAGGAGGCAAACUGGGACAAUUAAAACA